rnacentral:rRNA from 1 species
GACGAACGCUGGCGGCGUGCUUAACACAUGCAAGUCGAACGGAAAGGCCCUGCUUUUGUGGGGUGCUCGAGUGGCGAACGGGUGAGUAGCACGUGAGUAACCUGCCCUUGACUUUGGGAUAACUUCAGGAAACUGGGGCUAAUACCGGAUAGGAGCUCCUGCUGCAUGGUGGGGGUUGGAAAGUUUCGGCGGUUGGGGAUGGACUCGCGGCUUAUCAGCUUGUUGGUGGGGUAGUGGCUUACCAAGGCUUUGACGGGUAGCCGGCCUGAGAGGGUGACCGGCCACAUUGGGACUGAGAUACGGCCCAGACUCCUACGGGAGGCAGCAGUGGGGAAUAUUGCACAAUGGGCGGAAGCCUGAUGCAGCAACGCCGCGUGCGGGAUGACGGCCUUCGGGUUGUAAACCGCUUUCGCCUGCGACGAAGCGUGAGUGACGGUAAUGGGUAAAGAAGCACCGGCUAACUACGUG